AUGGUUUCCCCAGUGAAAUUUCCCCUGGAAGAAAAACCAUCCCUCCCACCCUGCCCCGUUGAGAACCACUGAUGUCGACCAACGACUGUCCUGAGGGUCACUGACACCCUUUCAAAGCCAAAAUUAUUUUCAUACUAAUAUGAAGACGUGAUUUGCCCUUUGCACAAUGCUGACGUUUGCACUGAUGGUGGAAAAGCAAUGGUCUUGGAGUUAGGUCAACAGGAGAAGAGUCAAGUGAGGUCACAGAUGAGUUGAAUUACUAGGAACAAGUCAAGAAGCCUCAAAAGAAUCAAGGCGUAAAAUACCAAGAACCUACUGGAGAAUAUAUAUUCCAUCAAAAUCAGGAAGAAACCCAAGAAAGAUGGCAUGGAAUCCAGCAAAGAAGGGAUCCAAUAUAGGAGAAAAACUAAGAGAAUCUCAAAAUGGUGAAGCAAAGUCACAGUAACAGAUAUGGAGAAGGCCUAGAAGGCAACAAAUCCAGACAGGAAUGUGACAGAGAAUCCAAGAUAGUUAUUUCUGAGGGAUUUUACAAAGGCACUGGAAGAUGUGAGAAAUUAAGCUUUAGGAAUGGCCUUCAUUGGUUGCAAUAGGAAGCGAAAGAGGAGACCUGAAAUCAAAUGAAAACGCGUAAGCAUCCUGGGGAGAAGCCCACUGGAUCUCAGUUCUGCCCUGCUCAGGGAAGUUCAGUAUCCAGGUGACUGAGAACAGAACCGGCUGGUACCAAAGACAUGAUUCUGAGGAGGCCGAAGCCCUUUCCCUCUGCCUCCAUACAUAACAGGAGCAGGACCACACACUCAGUCCCUGACAAGAAAAGGAGGGUGGAUUUUCUAAACUAUGAUAUUCAGCAUUAAAAUUAACAAGUUAACAAAAGUAA